UACGUAGGGCGCGAGCGUUGUCCGGAAUUAUUGGGCGUAAAGAGCUCGUAGGCGGUUUGUCGCGUCGGUUGUGAAAACCCAAGGCUCAACCUUGGGCCUGCAAUCGAUACGGGCAGACUAGAGUACUGCAGGGGAGACUGGAAUUCCUGGUGUAGCGGUGGAAUGCGCAGAUAUCAGGAGGAACACCGGUGGCGAAGGCGGGUCUCUGGGCAGUAACUGACGCUGAGGAGCGAAAGCGUGGGGAGCGAAUAGG
rnacentral:rRNA from 1 species